rnacentral:rRNA from 1 species
CCUACGGGUGGCUGCAGUGGGGAAUUUUGGACAAUGGGGGCAACCCUGAUCCAGCCAUGCCGCGUGCGGGAAGAAGGCCUUCGGGUUGUAAACCGCUUUUAGCCGGGAAGAAAAGGCAAGGGAUAACACCCCUUGUUCUUGACGGUACCGGCGGAAUAAGCACCGGCUAACUACGUGCCAGCAGCCGCGGUAAUACGUAGGGUGCGAGCGUUACGCGGAAUUACUGGGGGCGGUGCGUGCGGUUCCGUGUGAAAGCCCCGGGCUCAACCUGGGAAUGGCAAUGGAAACUGGCGGACUGGAGUGCGGCAGAGGGGGGUGGAAUUCCGCGUGUAGCAGUGAAAUGCGUAGAGAUGCGGAGGAACACCGAUGGCGAAGGCAGCCCCCUGGGCCGACACUGACGCUCAGGCACGAAAGCGUGGGGAGCAAACAGGAUUAGAUACCCGAGUAGUC